ensembl:snRNA U6 U6 spliceosomal RNA
GUGCUUGCUUCAGCAGCACAUAUACUGAAAUGAUACAGAGAAAAUUAGCAUGUUAUCUGUGCAAGGAUGACACAAAAAUAACUUAUUGGACAUCUUCUCAU